GCCAGACUCCUACGGGAGGCAGCAGUGAGGGAUAUUGGGCAAUGGGGGAAACCCUGACCCAGCGACGCCGCGUGAGGGAAGACGGUCUUCGGAUUGUAAACCUCUGUCUUUGGGGACGAAAAAGGACGGUACCCAAGGAGGAAACUCCGGCUAACUACGCGCCAGCAGCCGCGGUAAUACGUAGGGGGCAAGCGUUAUCCGGAUUCACUGGGUGUAAAGGGAGCGUAGACGGCGACGCAAGUCUGGAGUGAAAGCCCGGGGCCCAACCCCGGGACUGCUCUGGAAACUGCGGCGCUGGAGUACGGGAGGGGCAGGCGGAAUUCCUGGUGUAGCGGUGAAAUGCGUAGAUAUCAGGAGGAACACCGGCGGCGAAGGCGGCCUGCUGGACCGUGACUGACGUUGAGGCUCGAGAGCGUGGGGAGCAAACAGGAUUAGAUACCCUAGUAAA
rnacentral:rRNA from 1 species